GAGUUUAAGGGCAUAUUAAAAGAAAAAAAAUAGUUGUAUCUUCAUUUGCAACUUAUUUUACAACUUCUACGAGAUACAAACAGAAAUAAGUCUGUAGAAAAAAAAAUAAAAAAUAAAAUCUAGUUUAUCACAACUCUCUAAAAAGAUAUCCACUAAUAAUAUUUGGUACUUUUUUAGAAAAUGUUUUAGACACAUGAUUAGAAAUAAAGGCUACCGCAAGGACUUUCAAGAAAACCGUAAGGGCAGAGUAACUUUUUAUGAUGGGAGAAAGGGCA
rnacentral:lncRNA from 1 species